UCGGACAAGGUGUAGCUGGAACACAACCUCUUCUCAUAAAAUACGGGUGCAUUAUUUCAGAGGUAGUCCAGGGUUCGACUUCGACUCCCUGUGUCUGAA